GACGAACCGAGCGAACGUUAUUCGGAAUCACUGGGCUUAAAGGGCGCGUAGGCGGGCCAUCAAGUCAGGGGUGAAAGCCCCCAGCUCAACCGUGGAACUGCCUUAGAUACUGACGGCCUCGAGGGAGAUAGGGGCAUGCGGAACUGUAGGUGGAGCGGUGAAAUGCGUUGAUAUCUACAGGAACUCCGGUGGCGAAAGCGGCGUGCUGGAUCUCUUCUGACGCUGAGGCUCGAAAGCUAGGGGAGCAAACGGG
rnacentral:rRNA from 1 species